GUGAAUACAAAUAUGUUGUAACAAUGAAACUGUAAAUUAUGCGAUUAUUUCGUUUCCACCGAAAUCCGACACUCACCGUUUGUAAGAUAAUUAUUGUGCCAUCUUCCGUCCAAGCUGUCUCAACAGAUAAAAACAUUUGAGACAUGGGGCGCCCAGUCAACGUGUUUCUCAAACAAAAGGGCCAGCUUUGGCAAAUCUUCGGUUGGAAUUUCGGCGAGAAUGUCGUUUUUGGGCGAAGACAUGACUUAACUUUCUCUUAAACCUCAUGACUAAAUCCCCACUUGGCAAUGUUCGAUUGAUUCAAGCAGGAAUAAAUAAUGUACGUGGCACAA